rfam:Oryza meridionalis cultivar OR44 (W2112) chromosome 9, whole genome shotgun sequence.
UUUAAGUGCAACCAUAAGUUUAUACGCCCAACUUUGAUCGUUCAUCUUAUUUGAAAAUUUUUUAUAAUUAAUAUUUUUGUUGGUAUGAGAUAAUAAAACAUGAAAAAUACUUUGCUUGUGACUUAUGUUUUUAAUUUUUUUAAAACUUUUCAAAUAAGACGGACGGUCAAAGUUGGGCGUGGAAAAUCAUGGCUGCACUUAUA